UACGAAGGGGGCUAGCGUUGUUCGGAUUUACUGGGCGUAAAGCGCACGUAGGCGGUUUGUUAAGUCAGGGGUGAAAUCCCAGAGCUCAACUCUGGAACUGCCUUUGAUACUGGCAAGCUAGAGUCCGGAAGAGGUAAGUGGAACUCCUAGUGUAGAGGUGGAAUUCGUAGAUAUUAGGAAGAACACCAGUGGCGAAGGCGGCUUACUGGUCCGGAACUGACGCUGAGGUGCGAAGCGUGGGGAGCAAACAGG
rnacentral:rRNA from 1 species